rnacentral:rRNA from 1 species
GACGAACCGUACGAACGUUAUUCGGAAUCACUGGGCUUAAAGGGUGCGUAGGCGGCGCGACAAGUUGGGUGUGAAAUCCCUCGGCUCAACCGAGGAACUGCGCCCAAAACUGCCGUGCUCGAGGGAGACAGAGGUGAGCGGAACUUAGGGUGGAGCGGUGAAAUGCGUUGAUAUCCUAAGGAACACCGGUGGCGAAAGCGGCUCACUGGGUCUCUUCUGACGCUGAGGCACGAAAGCUAGGGUAGCGAACAGG